rnacentral:rRNA from 1 species
AUUGAACGCUGGCGGCAGGCCUAACACAUGCAAGUCGAGCGAGCGGCUGACGGGUGAGGAAUGUAUGGGCUCUGCCCGAUAGCGGGGGAUAACCACAGCAAACGCUAGCUAAUACCGCAUACCACAUGACAACCCCAAUGGGAUUAGCUAGUAGGUGAGGUAAUGGCUCAACUAGGCGACGAUCCCUAGCUGGUCUGAGAGCAUGAUCAGCCACACUGGAACUGAGACACGGCCCAGACUCCUGCGGAGGCAGCGGUUGGGAAUAUUGCACAAUUGGCGCAAGCCUGAUGCAGCCAUGCCGCGUGUAUGGAGAAGGCCCUAGGGUUGUAAAGUACUUUCAGUCGGGAGGCGUUACCGACAGACGAAGCGCCGGCUAACUCCGUGCCAGCAGCCGCGGUAAUUC